CCUUCGCCAUAACCUAAUAAGCAGUGGUUUGUAAGUUUGAUUUCAAAGCUGCAAAGCUCGAAUCAAUAGAGCUUUGUAGAAGUGUCAAGGAUAGAUUAUAAAGAUUCUUCUUUCUUCAACUCUUUUGUCCUUAUAUGUUGUGUGUUCUUCCUGAAUCGGGCAGAUAUGCACUUGUUCUUCUUCUUGUCUUCGCCACCGGCAAAUAGCGUAAAUCGCGAGACAGACAUUCUCCCGCGAAGAAAGAGAGCCAAGAAGACCACUAAAGCACUAAGUGGUAUGAAGAUUUGAGAUUGUUCUAAUGGCGUCUAGGGAAGGAAAGAGGCGUACUCAUCAACAUCAUGAGAAUCUUGUGCCUGUUGCUGCUCUGUUAAGCAGAGAGACGAGAGCUGCUAAGAUGGAGAAACCGGUUGUUAGAUACGGGAAGCUGUUCAAUCUAGGAAAGGCGAAGAUUAUCUUUUGAUCAAGACUGAUACUCCAUAUCGAGUUUGUUUAAGAUGGAUAUGAGUCCUUCUUUGUAUCAGACUGAGUGGUGAGUAAACUCGAGUUCUUAUCACUAAUUUAUCAAUUUAAAGUUUUGUUCUUAAUUA